AGAGAUGAUUUGGAGUCUCUUGGUUAUGUGCUUAUGUAUUUUUUGAGGGGAAGGUUGGAUACUUAUGUGAUAUGCUGAAAUCCAUUUUCCUUUGUUUCAUUGCUCUGUUUCACCAUAUUAUUUACUUAUUUUCUUUACUAGUCUUCCUUGGCAGGGACUAAAAGCAGGUACAAAAAAACAGAAAUACGACAAGAACAGUGAAAAGAAGAUGCUUACUCCCAUAGAGCAACCAAGUGGGAAACUGGUUCUAAAUCCUGGGCCAUCUGCAGAGAGAAUAGAGAGACCUUCAGAGCAACAUCAUGAGGAGGUUUGCCUUGGAAACCUGAGGAGAUUUCAAUUUAGAGAGCUUCAGAUGGCAACAAACAACUUCAGCAGCAAGUACUUGGUUGGAUGAUGAAUUGAAGGAUGGAGCAAGUUUCAUGCAUGAUUUACUUUUGUGUAUCUUGUAAUGUUUCUGUUUUUCAUUUUUAAAGUAAAAAAUGUUCAAGAUUAUAAAACUUUAUUAUGUUAUGCUUUCAAAUUUAAGUUAGAACUAAGAUCUCAUGAAGUAGACAUAUUCAUGGUUUGAAUUAGUUAUUGUUUAAUGUAAUACUUGUGGUUUAUCAAUCUAUUGAGAAUUACAUUU